rnacentral:rRNA from 1 species
GACGAACGCUGGCGGCGUGCUUAACACAUGCAAGUCGAACGGAAAGGCCCUGCUUUUGUGGGGUGCUCGAGUGGCGAACGGGUGAGUAACACGUGAGUAACCUGCCCUUGACUUUGGGAUAACUUCAGGAAACUGGGGCUAAUACCGGAUAGGAGCUCCUGCUGCAUGGUGGGGGUUGGAAAGUUUCGGCGGUUGGGGAUGGACUCGCGGCUUAUCAGCUUGUUGGUGGGGUAGUGGCUUACCGAGGCUUUGACGGGUAGCCGGCCUGAGAGGGUGACCGGCCACAUUGGGACUGAGAUACGGCCCAGACUCCUACGGGAGGCAGCAGUGGGGAAUAUUGCACAAUGGGCGGAAGCUUGAUGCAGCAACGCCGCGUGCGGGAUGACGGCCUUCGGGUUGUAAACCGCUUUCGCCUGUGACGAAGCGUGAGUGACGGUAAUGGGUAAAGAAGCACCGGCUAACUACGUG